AGAGCGAACGCUGGCGGCAGGCCUAAUACAUGCAAGUCGAACGCACCUUCGGGUGAGUGGCGGACGGGUGAGUAACACGUGGGAACGUGCCCUUUGGUUCGGAAUAAUCCGGGGAAACCUGGCCUAAUACCGGAUGUGCCCUUCGGGGGAAAGAUUUAUCGCCAAAGGAGCGGCCCGCGUCUGAUUAGCUAGUUGGUGAGGUAACGGCCCACCAAGGCUACGAUCAGUAGCUGGUCUGAGAGGAUGAUCAGCCACACUGGGACUGAGACACGGCCCAGACUCCUACGGGAGGCAGCAGUAGGGAAUCUUGCGCAAUGGGCGAAAGCCUGACGCAGCCAUGCCGCGUGAAUGAUGAAGGUCUUAGGAUUGUAAAAUUCUUUCAGCAGGGAAGAUAAUGACUGUACCUGCAGAAGAAGCUCCGGCUACUUCGUGCCAGCAGCCGC
rnacentral:rRNA from 1 species